rnacentral:rRNA from 1 species
AGAGUUUGAUCAUGGCUCAGGACAAACGCUGGCGGCGUGCUUAACACAUGCAAGUCUAAGGAGAACGUUAACUUCGGUUAACUAUUAAACUGGCGGACGGGUGAGUAACGCGUAGGCAACCUGCCUUUAAGAUUGGGAUAACGUUUAGAAAUGAAUGCUAAUACCAAAUAAUAUUCUUUGAAUCAAAAGAGGGCUUCGGCUCUCGCUUAAAGAUGGGCCUGCGUCUGAUUAGCUAGAUGGUAAGGUAAUGGCUUACCAUGGCAACGAUCAGUAGCUGGUUCGAGAGGAUGAUCAGCCACACUGGGACUGAGAUACGGCCCAGACUCCUACGGGAGGCAGCAGUGGGGAAUUUUGCGCAAUGGGGGAAACCUUGACGCGGCAACGCCGCGUGAUUGAAGACGCUUUUAGGAGUGUAAAGAUCUGUCAUAGGGGAAGAAACACGUAUAUUCUAACACAAUAUUCGUUUGACGGUACCCUAUAAGAAAGCCCCGGCUAACUAGGUGCCAGCCGCCGCGGUAAUAC